GCGGGCCCCCGCGGCAGCCCCGCGCCCGGCCGCCCCGAAGGAGGCCGCGGGCCGGCGGAGGGCGGAGGGCGGCGGGGGCCGCGGCGGAGCCGGGCGGCCAUGAUGCAGUGAGCGCUCCCUCCCCGCGCGGCCGGGUGGGGGCCCGCGUUAGCGCCGCUCCCGCCCGCCUCCUUACAUAACCCCUCGGCCGCGGAGCGGGGCUGCGGCGGCACCUCCACCAGCGCCAUGGCGAAUGACAGCGGCGGCGGAGCCGGCCAGGGCGGCGGCGAGAGUAGCGGCGGCGGCGGCAGCAGCGAGCGGGACCGGCAGUACUGCGAGCUGUGCGGGAAGAUGGAGAACCUGCUGCGGUGCGGGCGCUGCCGCAGCUCCUUCUACUGCAGCAAGGAGCACCAGCGCCAGGACUGGAAGAAGCACAAGCUCAUCUGCCGCGGCGGAGGCGCGGCGGCGGCGGCGGUAGCGACGGCCGCAGCAGGGGGCGCUGCCGAGCCCCGCGGCGGGCACCCCCCGCCGCCGACCCGCGCCCACAGCGGCGGGGCCGCGGCGGGAGGCGGCAGCCGGGCGGCCGGAGCCGGAGCGGCGGCGGGCAAGGGCGCAGCGCCGCCGCCCCCGGAGUCCCCCGGCGAGGCCGCCCCGCUGACCAACAACCACGUCGCCGCCGCCGCCGCAGGAGCGGCCGGCGGCGGUGAGGCGGAGGCCGCGGCCGCGGCCCCGGCCCCGGCCCAGUCCCCGUCGCCCUCCGGGGAGGCGGUGCUGCUGUACCGGGACAAGUCGAACCUGUACCCGGGCGGCGUGCAGGCGGGGCCCGGCGGGGCCGCGCUGCGCCCCAACGGGCAGACGAAGUCGCUGGUGCCGCAGCGGCUGGCGCUGGAGUACAUCGUGCCCUGCAUGAACAAGCACGGCAUCUGCGUGGUGGACGACUUCCUCGGCAAGGAGCUGGGCGGGCUGGUGGCCCAGGAGGUGCGGGCCCUCCACCACACCGGCCGCUUCACCGACGGGCAGCUCGUCAGCCAGAAGAGCGACUCCUCCAAGGACAUCCGCGGCGACAAGAUCACCUGGGUGGAGGGCAAGGAGCCGGGCUGCCAGACCAUCCGGCUCCUCAUGAACAGCAUGGACGAUCUCAUCCGACACUGCAACGGCAAGCUGGGCAACUACAAAAUCAACGGCAGGACGAAAGCUAUGGUGGCUUGUUAUCCAGGCAAUGGAACGGGAUACGUGCGCCAUGUUGAUAAUCCAAAUGGAGACGGAAGAUGCGUUACAUGUAUAUAUUAUCUUAAUAAAGACUGGGAUGCUAAGGUAAGUGGAGGCAUCCUUCGGAUAUUUCCAGAAGGUAAAGCCCAAUUCGCUGAUAUUGAACCCAAAUUCGAUAGACUGCUAUUCUUCUGGUCUGAUCGCCGCAACCCUCAUGAAGUACAGCCAGCAUUUGCUACAAGUUCAGGAGUUCUUUUUCCAUCCGUUUCCCUAGGUACGCAAUAACAGUGUGGUAUUUUGAUGCAGAUGAAAGAGCACGAGCUAAAGUAAAAUAUCUAACAGGUGAAAAAGGUGUGAGGGUUGAACUUAAUAAACCUUCAGACUCAGUUGGGAAAGACGUUUUAUAAGCCUUUGAUUUAGCAACUCCCCUUGCUAUUCUCCCUGAUAAAUCUUGAUGCUAUCUAUUAACUUUUGAAUGUGAAUAACAAGAUAAAGGAAAAUCAACAACAAACCAACAUUUUAAUAAAGAAGCAAACAGUGUUUCAAUGUUGCAUCAAAUAGAAGGUUCUUUGACUGCUGAAGCAUUGUACUAUGUGAUUGUGACUCCAGGCCUGUGACUGCUUAUGUGAAGAAGAUAAGCAAUCAGUAAGAAACAGCAUAUGCAUCUGGACAUAAAUAAGUGCCCUACAUAGAAUUUGUCCAUCCUUAUAUUUUGCCAGACCUGUCAUCCAGCUGAAUCCAAUUCAUCUCUCCCUUUUUUUAUAUGGUAAAAGUUUGAAUUUUGGGUAAUUUUUGUAUGACCAGGUACAGUUUAUCAAAAUUGAGUCUUAAAAAAAAAAAAAAAAAAAAAAAAGAAAAACUGAAAAAAAAAAAAAAGAGAAAAAAAUUACAGUAUUCUCCAAAAUAACAUGGAUCUAUUUUUGUAAAACUGUUCAUACUGUUCUCCUCUGCCAUGAAAGACCUAAUUUAAUGUAAGGGUUGCCAGUAACUGAUAAUCACUUUAAUUUUCUUUACACCUUAAGUCAGAAAAGGAGCACUUUAAUUACCAGCUAAAAACCUGAUUGUUUUAUAUCAUAUCUCACACUAAUCUUAACUUUUAAAGAUUGCUGCUGUAUUGUUUUUUUGACUAUGUCCUCUUGAACCUUAUUAACAGAAGCAAAUCAGUAUCUUGCUAUUAGUAACAUUCAGUUUGUGGUUUUGUAUGUUGAAUCCACAGAGGGGAAGUUUCUGUCUCUUCUUUGUUUUUUUGGUUUGGUUUUUUUUUUUGUUUUGUUUUGGGUUUUUUUCUUGUUUGUUUUGUUUUGUGGGGGUUUUUUUUAAGUGACUGGCACUAAGUGAACUUGACACUAUCGGUUGCUGUCAUUGGCUUUGGGGACCUGGUAAAUACCAUCAAGUUACAAGAAUAUACAAGGGCUUUCCUAGGCUAUUAGAGGUACCCAGAACCUCCUUACGUACUUGACAGAAAAUUUUGAGCUUUCUCCCUUUUCUAAAGAAUACUUGCCACCGCCCUUUCCUUUGUAUAUAAGUUAAUAGAAUAUCUAAAAUUCACUUUUUUUUUUUUAUUUCCUUUUCAAAUGUUGAUGUCCCAUGCAGUCUGUAAGUUGACACCUUGAUCUAUUAUAUAGUAUCAAGGAGAUGGUCAGCACACUGAAGCUGAAGUGCAUCACUGUAGGCUCCUUGUGCAAUACAUCUUUAGGUUUUCGCUGUGCUGAAGGAUUUCAAAAGGCAAUGGCCUUUGAUCAGUACUGAGGAAUAUAUUUAGUAAGAAAACAUUUACUUUCUUUUACAUUGUUUUCAUUUUAUCAAGGAGAGGGGACAUCACAGAAUAGAAGUGAGAUGUGCAGAAACUUUGAUACUCUUAUUUUUAAGAAAUGAAUGUUUUGGACGCUGAUUUUUUUUUUUUUUUUUUUUUUCCCCUCCUCUUCUUUCUUUUUUUUCCUGAGCUUUAAAAGCUUGAGAAAACAAAAGCAAACCUAUGAAAGACAGCAUUCAUAUUUAUAGGAGUUUGGGGGUUGAUCAACUUAUCCACUGCAGUUUUCUAUCUGUCCCUUAUUUCCUUACUUAGCCAAAACAAUGUGAGUGUACAGAAAUAUUUCUGUAUAUAUUACAACUUGUGACAAUUUUAGCAUCUGUAUAGUUUGUAUUCAAUUAGAGACCUUUUCUAUGGAAAGCUCAGUAAUUUUUUAUUAAAAAGAUUACUAUUGUUCAUGUAAAACAUGAAAAAGCUAAUUGUUUAGUAACAAACUGACAGAAGGGGGAAAAAAAAUCAGUAUUCGUAUAUCAUUUAGGAGAACCAACAGAAAUCCCAGGGGUUUUUUUACUUUGCUUUUCCUUUUUUUUUUUUUUUUUUUUUUUUUUUUUUUUUUUUUUUUUAAGUAAGUUCUUGCCCUUUACAGUUCUCUUCCUCUUUUCUUCCCAGAAAAACAGACAGGAUACCUUUACUGUAAGUGCCUCUGCCAACCUGGCCAAGGAGUGCAAAUCUUCAUUACUGUCUGGUCUGCAGUGCAUUUAGGCUACUAAUGAAACAAGCAAAAAAAGCCACCUCUUCUACUUCAUCUUCUUUAGUGCUACUUUAUCGGAGGUUUGGUUGGUUUUGUUUUAGAAAUGUAAGCAUAAGCCUUUAAACUCAUUUCACUCCCUCCGUAAUUCAAACUUCUGCAGUUACAUGGCGUAUCAAAUUCUAAUCACACUGUAGGUUUGUGCUUGCCAGACAGGUUUAAAAAGUGCUUAAUUUUUCACUCCAUAUAAGUCAUUACAAUAGGGUCAACCAAUCAGGUCAGCCAUUUCUUCCGUGUCCUUUAGAAACUGUUCAUUUCAUGUCGGUUGAACAUUCAGUCUUGAGCAUCACCAAGCAGGUCCUUGUUUUAAAACUAUUUUUUAAACUGUCUUAUGAUCUGUAUGUGUCUAGUCCUGGUUAAAGAUAAAGCUUCAUAAUGUUAUUUUUAUUCAUGAUGUUAGCUGGCUGUGAAAUAUGAGACCUUUAUCUAUAGCAGGCGAAGAAAUUCAGGAUUCAUUUACAGGUUGCCUAUAAAGUUGUGUAAUUUGAAAAGCAGUGUUCAUUAUGAAAGAGCUCUCAAGUUGCUUGUAAAGCUAAUCUAAUUAAAAAAAGAUGAUGUAUAAA